AGACAAUCUUCAGUGGUCACACUAUAGGAAUUGAAAGGAGAAUAUCUCUACGUCUGUCUGAAGAAGAGUUUACAGGUUUGUGACCUCACUCUGGUACCACUUCUGGGUUCAUCUCAUGGUUUUUACUUGUGAGCGCUAAUUUGCCGUUUGUACUUCCACUGAACUUGCGACCCAUCUCUGCGUGUGAUGACUUCGCAGCUCCUAGAUUACUAGCAGUGGUGGGGCCAAUAAGCAAUAUGGCUCUACAAGAUCCCAGUGUACCACAGGAAGGUGUUUUCCUCCUAUCCCACGUCUUGUGUGAGCAGCCAGGUAUGGGUGCUGGGGCUGGCCUGAGUCUCCGCCGUGCUGUCUGCAGCUACAUGCCAAAUCAGCAAAAGUUAAACUUCUCACUGAGGAAGACUUUGGAACUACGAAUCAAGCACAAUCCUUUCUCUUGCUGAAAGCUCCAGUAGGUGCACAGCCAGCGGUCCUUGUCCUCAUGCUGCCCUCCUUAAUGUAGCACUAAGACUAUGGAAAAAACUUUCUGCAUCUGGAAAUAUGGAAGGAAAUGGCUACUGGAUCAGGAGUCAGCAAUUCUGAUGCUAGCACACGUUCAGACACAUCCAUCAAGCAGUCCAUGACCUGUGAAAAUUAA